UGCAAGUCGAGCGGGAUGACGGGAGCUUGCUCCUUGAUUCAGCGGCGGACGGGUGAGUAAUGCCUAGGAAUCUGCCUGGUAGUGGGGGACAACGUUUCGAAAGGAACGCUAAUACCGCAUACGUCCUACGGGAGAAAGCAGGGGACCUUCGGGCCUUGCGCUAUCAGAUGAGCCUAGGUCGGAUUAGCUAGUUGGUGGGGUAAUGGCUCACCAAGGCGACGAUCCGUAACUGGUCUGAGAGGAUGAUCAGUCACACUGGAACUGAGACACGGUCCAGACUCCUACGGGAGGCAGCAGUGGGGAAUAUUGGACAAUGGGCGAAAGCCUGAUCCAGCCAUGCCGCGUGUGUGAAGAAGGUCUUCGGAUUGUAAAGCACUUUAAGUUGGGAGGAAGGGCAGUAAGCUAAUACCUUGCUGUUUUGACGUUACCGACAGAAUAAGCACCGGCUAACUCUGUGCCAGCAGCCGCGGUAAUACAGAGGGUGCAAGCGUUAAUC
rnacentral:rRNA from 1 species